rnacentral:rRNA from 1 species
CCUAGGGUGGCAGCAGUGGGGAAUAUUGGACAAUGGGCGAAAGCCUGAUCCAGCCAUGCCGCGUGUGUGAAGAAGGCCUUCGGGUUGUAAAGCACUUUCAGUGGGGAAGAAAGCCUUGGGGCUAAUACCCUCGAGGAAGGACAUCACCCACAGAAGAAGCACCGGCUAACUCCGUGCCAGCAGCCGCGGUAAUACGGAGGGUGCGAGCGUUAAUCGGAAUUACUGGGCGUAAAGCGCGCGUAGGCGGUCUGAUAAGCCGGUUGUGAAAGCCCCGGGCUCAACCUGGGAACGGCAUCCGGAACUGUCAGGCUAGAGUGCAGGAGAGGAAGGUAGAAUUCCCGGUGUAGCGGUGAAAUGCGUAGAGAUCGGGAGGAAUACCAGUGGCGAAGGCGGCCUUCUGGACUGACACUGACGCUGAGGUGCGAAAGCGUGGGUAGCAAACAGGAUUAGAUACCCGAGUAGUC